AGUGUAUCCGCGGCUAGACGGAAAGACCCCGUGAACCUUUACUAUAGCUUUGCACUGGACUUUGAAUUUGCUUGUGUAGGAUAGGUGGGAGGCUUUGAAGUGGGGACGCCAGUUCUCAUGGAGCCAUCCUUGAAAUACCACCCUGGCAACUUUGAGGUUCUAACUCAGGUCCGUCAUCCGGAUCGAGGACAGUGUAUGGUGGGUAGUUUGACUGGGGCGGUCUCCUCCCAAAGAGUAACGGAGGAGUACGAAGGUGCGCUCAGACCGGUCGGAAAUCGGUCGUAGAGUAUA
rnacentral:rRNA from 1 species